rnacentral:rRNA from 1 species
GAGACCGGCGCACGGGUGCGUAACGCGUAUGCAAUCUACCUUUCACAAAGGGAUAGCCCAGAGAAAUUUGGAUUAAUACCUUAUAGUAUAUAUGAAUGGCAUCAUUUAUAUAUUAAAGAUUUAUCGGUGAAAGAUGAGCAUGCGUCCCAUUAGCUAGUUGGUAAGGUAACGGCUUACCAAGGCAACGAUGGGUAGGGGUCCUGAGAGGGAGAUCCCCCACACUGGUACUGAGACACGGACCAGACUCCUACGGGAGGCAGCAGUGAGGAAUAUUGGACAAUGGGCGCAAGCCUGAUCCAGCCAUGCCGCGUGCAGGAUGACGGUCCUAUGGGUUGUAAACUGCUUUUAUACGAGAAGAAACCCUCCGACGUGUCGGAGCUUGACGGUAUCGUAAGAAUAAGGAUCGGCUAACUCCGUGCCAGCAGCCGCGGUAAUACGGAGGAUCCAAGCGUUAUCCGGAAUCAUUGGGUUUAAAGGGUCCGUAG